UACGAAGGGGGCUAGCGUGGUUCGGAAUUACUGGGCGUAAAGCGCACGUAGGCGGAUUGGUAAGUUAGGGGGGAAAUCCCAGGGCUCAACCCUGGAACUGCCUUUAAUACUGGCAAUCUCGAGUCCGAGAGAGGUGAGUGGAAUUCCGAGUGUAGAGGUGAAAUUCGUAGAUAUUCGGAAGAACACCAGUGGCGAAGGCGGCUCACUGGACUGGUAUUGACGCUGAGGUGCGAAAGCGUGGGGAGCAAACAGG
rnacentral:rRNA from 1 species